rnacentral:rRNA from 1 species
AUUGAACGCUGGCGGCAUGCUUUACACAUGCAAGUCGAGCGGCAGCGCGGCCUUCGGGCUGGUCGCGAGCGGCGGACGGGCGAGUAAUGCAUCGGAACAUGCCCAGUCGUGGGGGCUAGCACUUCGAAAGAAGUGCUAAUACCGCAUCGGUCAUGAGGGUGAAAGCGGGGGAUCGCAAGACCUCGCGCGAUUGGAGUGCACGAUGUCAGAUUAGCUAGUUGGUGGGGUAAAGGCCUACCAAGGCGACGAUCUGUAGCUGGUCUGAGAGGGUGAUCAGCCACACUGGGACUGAGACACGGCCCAGACUCCUACGGGAGGCAGCAGUGGGGAAUUUUCGACAAUGGGGGCAACCCUGACCCAGCAAUGCCGCGUGAGUGAAGAAGGCCUUCGGGUUGUAAAGCUCUGUCAGCAGGAACGAAACGGUGGGCUCUAACAUAGUCAGCUAAUGACGGUACCUGAAGAAAAAGCACCGGCUAACUACGUG